rnacentral:sRNA from 1 species
UUAAAAAAUCAAACCUUUUCGCCAUUAGUUCUCAAUUUUAUAAUUGUUAAAAGUCACACCAUUUGUCCUUGCUUGCUACUUUGUCGCCCUUUAUUUGCGACAUGCAAUGUUUCUAUUCAUUCCUCAUGGGAUCUUUAAAAAUCAGACCUUAUAUUUAGUUUAUAGAAGUUUCGUCAAAUGCCACCCAUCACCCUCCUAUUUAUUGUCAUUGGGUUUUAAAAAUCAAAUAUGAUCCUUGCCGGUGUUCUCUUUUUUACUUUGUAGAAGCAUGUGAACCGUCACGACCCUACUCCUGCAUAGCCUAGUUCUUGUCCACCCUCUUAAUCAUUGUUGAGAUUCUAAUAGUUGAAGCAAUCGUCAAUAGUUCUGUUUCAUAGUUUCAGGAGUUUUAUCAAUCACCAGCACACUACUCCUUUACUGUUCGCCCGCUACCUUUCCAAUUAUUAUAUGUAAUUCUUGUAUUCUAGAUGGAUUGUUCUUACAACAUUCCUAAUAUUUCUUAUUUUUAGUUCGAAUUUUGGUUGUUUUUCUUUUUCUAAUUCCCAAAUUAUUUUAUUUUUUAUUCUAAAUUUUAAUUAAACUUGUAUCGUGUUUUGCACUAACUGUUCUUUUAAUAUUCCUUCUUUUUAUUCUAAAUUUUGCUUAUUUCUAAAUUAUAUUCUGAUUUGAACUAUUAUUUUUAUUUUCUAAAUUCUGAAUUUAUUUCAUAUUUUAUUCUAUUUUUGUUCUUCCAAUUUCAUAAUUUAUUUCAUAUUUAUUCUAAAUUUUAAUUAAUCUCGUCUUGUGUUCUCUACUUUCCAUAUUCCUUUUAUUAUUUUUAUUCCAAAUUUUAGUUAUUUCUAAAUUGUAUUCCUACUUGAACCCUUAUUUUUCUAUUUCUAUUUCAGAAUUUAUUUUAUUUCGUAUUUCGAAUUUUAAUGGAUCUUGUAUUGCGUCCUAGGAGGACUCUUAUUUCAAUAUUUCUCUUUUUUAUUAUGAAUUUUAGUUUAUUUCUAAAUUAUAAUUCAACAUGAACUCUGUUGUGAAUAGACUCUUAUUACAAUAUUUCUUAUUUUUUUAUUCUUAUUAUAUUUUAUUUUAUUCCUAAAUUGUAAUCAUAUGUGAACUCUUUUUUUUUUCUUUUCCAAUUUCUGCAAUUAGUCUAUUUAUUAUUUUAAUUAAUCUCUUACUAUGUUCUUGAUGGACUCUUCUUUCAAUAUUUUUAUUUUUUAUUUCGAAUUUUUAGUUUAUUUCUAAAUUAUAUUCCUAGUUCUACCCUCUUUCUUCUUUUUCUCUGAUUAAUGUGUGAUUUUUAUUAUAUAUUUCAGUUUAUUUCUAAAUUGUAAUCCUACGUGAACUGUCUUAUUUCCUUUUCCAAUUUCUGAACUUUUUUAUUUUGAAUUUUAAUUAAACUCAUACCGUGUCCUAGAUAGACUUUCUCUCAACAUUUUAUUCCAAAUUUCAGUUUAUUUCUAAAUUGUAUUCCUUCCCGCGUAGUUUUGCGUGAAGCUAGAUAAUUCAUGUAGUGUAAGAUUUAAUAUAUAGAUCUGAAAUUUUAUUUUUAUAAAAAAAUCAUUAUAUAUAGAAGUAUAUUUAGAUUUCAUAUACAACUCUUAGGUCCUAUUUCUAUAAGGUAUGGAUUUCACAUAUAAAUUUUAGAUUCUAUUCUAUAGUCUUAGAUUUCAUAUACAACACUUAACUUCUAUUAUAACUGUAUUUUAUAUACAAAUAUAUCAAUCAAUCUAUGCUGUUAUAAUCUGGACCCACCAUGAUCUAAUGGUAAAAUGUUUUUCUUUUUUUAUGAUUAAUGUGGGAAUUUCUAGUCUCUACAAUGAACGUAGUGCCUUCUUUCAAGCUUGUUUUAAUGAUAUAAUAGAUUUUAAGGAACAAGUUUUACUGGAAGAAGGAUAAUAAACAUGUUCUAACUUGUGAGUAAAAGAAUGUGCAACUAGAAUGUUGUUGACUAUCAAUAAAUGUAAUAGCAGGUAGUAUUUUUGUGUGCCUAAAUUGUAUGAUCCAAUAUUCACUUCUAUGGUGUUUCAGUCAAAAAUGCCUAUAACACCUACAUCAAGUUUGUGAAAUAUAAUGAGAGCAGACUAGCUUACUGAGUGACCAGAAGAUCUGCUGUACCUUGUGUGUAAGUUCUAAUAUUAACUUCUGAGCAAGCUUUUAUUUAAUUUUGGACAUAAGAAAUAAUAUUUAUUUC